rnacentral:rRNA from 1 species
AGGACGAACGCUGGCGGCGUGCUUAACACAUGCAAGUCGAGCGGAAAGGCCCUUCGGGGUACUCGAGCGGCGAACGGGUGAGUAACACGUGAGUAAUCUGCCCCUAGCUCUGGGAUAGCUCCGGGAAACCGGGAUUAAUACUGGAUACGACCACCUUAGACAUCUUUUGUGGUGGAAAGAAUUUCGGCUAGGGAUGAGCUCGCGGCCUAUCAGCUUGUUGGUGGGGUAACGGCCUACCAAGGCGACGACGGGUAGCCGGCCUGAGAGGGCGACCGGCCACACUGGGACUGAGACACGGCCCAGACUCCUACGGGAGGCCAGCAGUGGGGAAUAUUGCGCAAUGGGCGAAAGCCUGACGCAGCGACGCCGCGUGCGGGAUGAAGGCCUUCGGGUUGUAAACCGCUUUCAGCAGGGACGAAAUUGACGGUACCUGCAGAAGAAGCCCCGGCCAACUACGCGCCAGCAGCCGC